CUUAGAAGUGGACGCAAUAUUAAAGUUCAUAUACCAAGUUUUCAGUCAACAUUCUUUCCAGCAACAGUGUUGUCCCCAUACCGGCCAUGGAGGAAGCUGUGAAAGAGAGCAUUCAGGAAAUUGGUGCAAAUGAGCCAUCUUGGAAGUCUGGGACACAGGUUCGAGACCUGGGCCAGGAAGAUCUCACAUGCCG